GUUUCCUGACUUCAGCACCAGCAGCUCCAUCACAAGCUUCCCAUUGACAUAGGUCUCAGCUCCCUCACAAGGCUCCAAUGUGACCAUCACUUCUCCAUCAGGCUAGGGAUGCUUUGGAAGAGACAAGUGUUGCUCCCAGAUGAACUGUCCAGUCAAAUUGAUGUCCACAUCCACCUGGCCAACCCUGGUGACACCAUCUUUGAUAUGGUAGAGAAGACACUCAGACAUCAAGGGGUCCUCAUUCAGAUUUACCAGAUCUCCUAGAGCAGAGGCUGAGAGUCCUUGAGCCAUCAGCAGCUCCUGCAAAUGCGCCACCUCCUCCUUCAGCUCUCAGGGUCACCUUUCCUUGGAGUAGCAUUUGCUUUUAAAUGGCCUGAAAUUUAAGAAAGAUGGAAAAUAAGGAAUGUAGAGAUGACUCACCCAUGAGGAGAACUUCCUGCUCUUCAAGAGGACCCCAGUUCUAUCUCCAUUGCCCACAUCUAGUGGUCACAACUACCUGUACCUCCAACUCCAGAGGAUCCAAUUCCCUUUUCUGGCCUUCGGGGUAUGUGUGUAUAUCAUGUAUUCACACAAACAUCCAAACACAUACAUGAAUAAAAGAAAAUCUUUUAAAAGCU